rnacentral:rRNA from 1 species
ACACACUGCAAGUCGAGGGGCAGCGGGGGCGUAGCAAUAUGCCUGCCGGCGACCGGCGCACGGGUGAGUAACACGUAUGUAACCUGCCCUAUGCAGGGGGAUAACCCGGAGAAAUCCGGCCUAAUACCGCGUAACACCUUUGGGGAGCAUUCCCUUGGGGUUAAAGGAGAGAUCCGGCAUAGGAUGGACAUGCGUCGCAUUAGGUAGACGGCGGGGUAACGGCCCACCGUGCCGACGAUGCGUAGGGGUUCUGAGAGGAAGGCCCCCCACACUGGUACUGAGACACGGACCAGACUCCUACGGGAGGCAGCAGUGAGGAAUAUUGGUCAAUGGCCGAGAGGCUGAACCAGCCAAGUCGCGUGAGGGAAGAAUGUCCUAAGGAUUGUAAACCUCUUUUGUCGGGGAGCAAAAAGGCUCUGCGGAGUCGUAUUGAGAGUACCCGAAGAAAAAGCAUCGGCUAACUCCGUGCCAGCAGCCGCGGUAAUACGGAGGAUGCGAGCGUUAUCCGGAUUUAUUGGGUUUAAAGGGUGCGCAGGCGGCGUGUCAAGCAAGCGGUAAAAUAGCGGGGCUCAACCCCGUCGAGCCGUUUGAACUGGCGCGCUUGAGUUCAGGCGAGGUAGGCGGAAUUCGUGGUGUAGCGGUGAAAUGCAUAGAUAUCACGAAGAACUCCGAUUGCGAAGGCAGCUUACCAGUCUGCGACUGACGCUCAGGCACGAAAGUGUGGGUAUCGAACAGGAUUAGAUACCCUGGUAGUCCACACAGUAAACGAUGAGCGCUAGGUGUCCGGGUCGAAUGAGGCUUGGGUGCCCGAGCGAAAGCGUUAAGCGCUCCACCUGGGGAGUACGCCGGCAACGGUGAAACUCAAAGGAAUUGACGGGGGCCCGCACAAGCGGAGGAACAUGUGGUUUAAUUCGAUGAUACGCGAGGAACCUUACCCGGGCUCAAACGACUCAGGAAUAUAUUGGAAACGAUGUAGCCAGCAAUGGUCUGAGUCGAGGUGCUGCAUGGUUGUCGUCAGCUCGUGCCGUGAGGUGUCGGCUUAAGUGCCAUAACGAGCGCAACCCCUACCGCCAGUUGCCAACGGGUAAAGCCGGGAACUCUGGCGGGACUGCCGGCGCAAGCUGCGAGGAAGGCGGGGAUGACGUCAAAUCAGCACGGCCCUUACGUCCGGGGCGACACACGUGUUACAAUGGCAGGUACAGCGGGAAGCCACCUGGUGACAGGGAGCGGAACCCGAAAGCCUGUCUCAGUUCGGAUUGGAGUCUGCAACUCGACUCCAUGAAGCUGGAUUCGCUAGUAAUCGCGCA